UACGAAGGGGGCUAGCGUUGUUCGGAAUUACUGGGCGUAAAGCGAACGUAGGCGGUGUUCCAUGUCAGAGGUGAAAGCCUGGGCUCAACUCCAGAAUUGCCUUUGAAACGGGACGCUUGAGUCCGAGAGAGGAUGGCGGAAUUCCUAGUGUAGAGGUGAAAUUCGUAGAUAUUAGGAAGAACACCGGUGGCGAAGGCGGCCAUCUGGCUCGGUACUGACGCUCAGGUUCGAAAGCGUGGGAGCAAACAGG
rnacentral:rRNA from 1 species